AAUAGAUACCCGGGUAGUCCACGCUGUAAACGAUGGGUGCUAGGUGUCGGGGGUAUCGACCCCCUCGGUGCCGCAGCUAACGCGAUAAGCACCCCGCCUGGGGACUACGGCCGCAAGGCUAAAACUCAAAGGAAUUGACGGGGGCCCGCACAAGCAGCGGAGCGUGUGGUUUAAUUCGAUGCAACGCGAAGAACCUUACCUGGGCUUGACAUGGAGGUGGUACCAACCCGAAAGGGGCGGGACCCGCAAGGGAGCCUCUGCAGGUGCUGCACGGCUGUCGUCAGCUCGUGCCGUGAGGUGUUGGGUUAAGUCCCGCAACGAGCGCAACCCUCGCCGCUAGUUACGCAGUCUAGCGGGACCGCCGGGACCAACCCGGAGGAAGGUGGGGACGACGUCAAGUCAGCAUGGCCCUGACGUCCAGGGCUACACACACGCUACAAUGGCCAGGACAAUGGGUAGCGAGGGGGCGACCCGGAGCCAAUCCCAGCAAACCUGGUCUCAGUUCGGAUUGCAGGCUGCAACCCGCCUGCAUGAAGUCGGAGUUGCUAGUAACCGGC
rnacentral:rRNA from 1 species